GUCGAUUCUGCCGGACCCGACUGCUAUCAGAGUGGGACUAAGCCAUGCGAGUCAACAUAGCAAUAUGUGGCAUACGGCUCAGUAACACGUAGUCAACAUGCCCAGGGGACGUGGAUAACCUCGGGAAACUGAGGAUAAACCGCGAUAAGUCACUACUUCUGGAAUGGGUAAUGACUUAAAUCUAUAUGGCCCCUGGAUUGGACUGCGGCCGAUCAGGCUGUUGGUGAGGUAAUGGCCCACCAAACCUGUAACCGGUACGGGCUCUGAGAGGAGGAGCCCGGAGAUGGGCACUGAGACAAGGGCCCAGGCCCUAUGGGGCGCAGCAGGCGCGAAACCUCUGCAAUAGGCGAAAGCCUGACAGGGUUACUCUGAGUGAUUUCCGUUAAGGAGAUCUUUUGGCACCUCUAAAAAUGGUGCAGAAUAAGGGGUGGGCAAGUCUGGUGUCAGCCGCCGCGGUAAUACCAGCACCCCGAGUGGUCGGGACGUUUAUUGGGCCUAAAGCAUCCGUAGCCGGUUCUGCAAGUCUUCCGUUAAAUCCACCUGCUUAACAGAUGGGCCGCGGAAGAUACUAUAGAGCUAGGAGGCGGGAGAGGCAAGCGGUACUCGAUGGGUAGGGGUAAAAUCCGUUGAUCCAUUGAAGACCACCAGUGGCGAAGGCGGCUUGCCAGAAUGCGCUCGACGGUGAGGGAUGAAAGCUGGGGGAGCAAACCGGAUUAGAUACCCGGGUAGUCCCAGCCGUAAACGAUGCAGACUCGGUGAUGGGUUGGCUUCGUGCUAACCCAGUGCCGCAGGGAAGCCGUUAAGUCUGCCGCCUGGGUAGUACGGUCGCAAGACUGAAACUUAAAGGAAUUGGCGGGGGAGCACCACAAGGGGUGAAGCCUGCGGUUCAAUUGGAGUCAACGCCGGA
rnacentral:rRNA from 1 species